GGGAAUCGAACCCGGGCCGUGGCGGUGAGAGCGCCGAAUCCUAACCCCUAGACAGUGCGUAUGUGAUCUUUAUUGCUAUUCAAUCAUAAUCUAGCAGCCGGCGAGGAAAUAAAAUCUACAAUAAUUGGUGUAAUUAAAGAUUGUAGCUAAAGAUAGUGCUUGUUUUGACAGAGAUCAAAACAAGCACUGUAUCUUUAGUCAGGUGACAGGAUUCCUGAAAACACCCACACAUACAUAUCUAUAAACUAUGCACAUGAUUCUGUACAUUUCCAUUCAACUGACUUGUAUCGAACAACACAAACUGUGCACAUGAUGUAUCGGUGUAUGCAUUCCCAUUCAAACCACCUCUAAUCCCUAAAGCUAAUUCAUUUGUUUUAGAACUCCCAAACACGACACUGUGUAACAUGAUUUAGGCAGCUCUUGAUUGGAUAUUGCAAUUCAACCUAAUUUCACAAAGAUUAAAGAGAUGACUAAAGAUAAAGUGCUUGUUUUUAUCUUUAUUGAUAUUCCAUCCUGAUCUGGCAGACAACGAGGAAAAAUUCCCAAAUAACAAAUCAAGGGCUCACCUUUUAAUCUAUGGUGCAGGGAAAAACAUGCCAAAAAUAUACAAUAUCAAGUAAAAUAAAAAGAUGUCUGAUCGUUUCCUUGUGGCCAUGUGACCUAACAGUAUAAAAGUGCUCUUCAUUCCCCAGCUGAACAGAACCUGGAGAACUAACUUGUGAUUCACUCUAAUGGAAGCCCAUCGUCCUCAUCAUGGCAAUGUUGACCAUAUCUCUGCUGCUCUGUGCUGCCGUUGCUCUGAGUAGCGCAGCAGUUCUUGUUUCAGAACCUUUAUUGGAGGGAAACAUGGAGCAAACCACCCCCUGUCGUGAGGAUAUGGAUGAUGAGGGAAACACCUUGAAACAGAACCCAUCUUGAAACCCCUGAGGAGGUGGACUUCGAGCAGACACUCUCUCUGGGUACGUUAGCGGAUAUUAAUAUUUGUCAGUGAAACAUGUCUAUAGUCGUUUUGUUUUGCUUGUGACCCCCAGCAGUGAGUCAGUCACUGCUAUUUGAAACAUGCACUUAGAGAUAUUCGUUUAUCUCUGUCUUAAACCAUGUCCUGUGGGUUCCAAUAUACUGGAAGCCUGACUCCACACAUGAAAUAAAUAUUCCAA